GCACAAGCAGUGGAGUAUGUGGUUUAAUUCGACGCAACGCGAAGAACCUUACCAAGUCUUGACAUCCCUUGACGAUGCUGGAAACAGUAUUUCUCUUCGGAGCAAGGAGACAGGUGGUGCAUGGUUGUCGUCAGCUCGUGUCGUGAGAUGUUGGGUUAAGUCCCGCAACGAGCGCAACCCUUAUGGUCAGUUACUACGUAAGAGGACUCUGGCCAGACUGCCGUUGAUAAAA
rnacentral:rRNA from 1 species